rnacentral:rRNA from 1 species
GACGAACGCUGGCGGCGUGCUUAACACAUGCAAGUCGAGCGGAAAGGCCUGCUUUCCCUUGUGGAUUGCGGGUACUCGAGUGGCGAACGGGUGAGUAAUACGUGAGUGAUCUGCCCCCAACUUGGGUAUAAGCCUGGGAAACUGGGUCUAAUUCCCGAUAGGACUGCAGGGUGGUGCCUGUGGUGGAAAACGAUUUUCUAGUGGUUGGGGAUGAGCUCGCGGCCUAUCAGCUUGUUGGUGGGGUAAUGGCCUACCAAGGCGGCGACGGGUAGCCGGCCUGAGAGGGUGGACGGCCACAUUGGGACUGAGAUACGGCCCAGACUCCUACGGGAGGCAGCAGUGGGGAAUAGUGCACAAUGGGCGGAAGCCUGAUGCAGCGACGCCGCGUGGGGGAUGACGGCCUUCGGGUUGUAAACUCCUUUCGACCGCGAGGAAGCCACCUGGUUGGAAGGGUGGUGACGGUAGUGGUAGAAGAAGCACCGGCUAACUACGUG